rfam:Alkalilimnicola ehrlichii MLHE-1, complete genome.
CGCCCCCUGCGGUGUACGAGCGCGGGCUAAGUAUUCUUGAGCCUCAACGUAAUCGCCAGGGGAUAAGGCGUGGAGUGGCUGGUGUGCAUGUCCGCCCUGGUAGCGGAAAGCCUAAGGCGCUCCCGAUAUCCCCACCUGGACCUCAGGGUUCAAGGGCGAUGCCCGCACGGCACAGGCGGGGGGCGU